rnacentral:lncRNA from 1 species
AUAUGGAAAAAUAGUUUUAAAAAAUAUCUUGUACAAUUAUCAGAGAACAAUCAAAAGACAACCACAUUCGGUUGUUAAUUACAUCAAAUGACAACUUUUCCAAAAUGUAUCUUCACAAUGUAUUUCCAAAUAACAAAGUACGAAGUAGGAUCAUUGCGAUUAACUGGUUUCCAUUAAUUUAUAUCAUCUUUUGACUCUAACACCAUUUCAAACAAAAUGAAGAAAUAAUGAUUUUGAUGAAAGACUUAACACAUUCCAUUUUAUGUUCUGCUUCUCUAUGCUAUGCCAACCCAGCUGAAUGCCGCCUAUUCGACAAGGCAUGUCUGCAAGUUCUCUUCCAAAACGCGUGCAGCUAUAAAACACCAAAAAAUCACGGUACAACAUCCAAGUUAUACAAGUCAAUAUUACAAAUUUAUAGAAUGGUCCAGUAAGCAUCCAAUUUUACUAAAUGAAGAAGUAUGGUAUUAAUUACACGAUUAAAGUCGAGCAAUUUGACAAAAAGUACACUUUGUAUUCAGCUACUAUAUUAACAACCGAUCCCAUAUUUCCCUCUUUUGAAAUGGACUGAAAACACAUUAAAGACCUGAAUUUUCACAGCUCCACAUUAAAUGAAAAUGUAGCCCAUAAUGUUAAUACUAAGCUUAACAGCAUCCAAAUUAUACAAGACAAUAUUACAAUUUUAUAGAAUGGUCAAGUAAGCAUCCAAUACUAAAUGAAGGAGUGAAUCAUACAAGGCCAACAUUGUUGUUUACAAAAUUAUCGUCUUCCCUAGACAACCAGGCCUCUCGUGACUCAUGCUCUGCAUAAAAUGCAAGUCAAUGCAUAUUGCAUUGUAUAAACCAAACGAAUUAAAAAAGCUGAACUUUGCUCCAAUCUUAAAUUUAAUAUUUAAUAUAUACCCAUCAAAAACAUGCUAUCCGUCAGAAAUUAGAAAAAAAAAUCAACAAAAAGCACUUAUUGUUGUAUUCAAAACCCAAAGAGGCAUUUUAUCGAACACCUGUCGUUCAUAAUUUCAUUAAACUAUUUUAUAAACAGUUUCUUUUUUUAACUCAAUAAAAUCUUCAAGAAGUCAUUCAUAGAAUUACUGUAUUUAAGAACAACAGAAAAAAAAUGAGCCGAUUUUAGUUAAAAAUUUGCAAUCGAGAAAGAUACGGCAGUUGCUGUCUUGCUGAGAAUGCCGCCAGCUGAUAAGAAAGAAAUUAUGAGGAUGAAUAAGGGUAUUUUCUCUAUUUAGUUUGAAAGACUGACAAGGGUAAUUUUGCUGAAAGUAUAUCACGGCCUCCGAAGAGGAAAUACAAUGACAGUAAUAAGUAGAACUUGUGUUGAGUAUUCAAUGGGGUUCUGACUUAGAGUUGGUAAAAUGAGUUGUUG